UCUCCAGCUAGGAUUAGUCUCAAGUAAAGUCUUUUCACCUAGGAAGUAGCCCUUGUGAUGGAAAAUGUGCUGGGUGUAUUUCACAUUGAUUACUGUUUCCUGCUCCCUGCCAGAGCUAGAAAAUCUUUCUCAGAUCCAUGAGACCAUGGUGGGGUCUCUGGAGAGCAAUAUAAGUGUUAUGACAGCAACCAUUGAGCAUGUUUUGGGAUACUGAAGAAGAACUCAAUUUACUUUUAGGAACAACCACUAGAAGAAUCACUGAGUGACUUAGAGAUAAACUGGAAGUGGAGAUUCUUGUCUUCAUCUUGAUGUUGAGAAUUUGUGAGAAAAUUUGUCUAUAUCUGGCCAUCUUAUGACAAAGAAGACACCUUUUCAAAAAAUAAACUACAUUUUGUCAAAUCUUGAAAAGAACACUUGGUGCAACCUUCUCUAAUUUUUAAAAUGAACAU